CACGUAGGUGGUUAAUUAAGUCAGGUGUGAAAGUUUUCGGCUCAACCGGAAAAGUGCACUUGAAACUGGAUAACUUGAGUAUCGGAGAGGUAAGCGGAAUUCCUAGUGUAGCGGUGAAAUGCGUAGAGAUUAGGAAGAACACCGGUGGCGAAGGCGGCUUACUGGACGAUAACUGACGCUGAGGUGCGAAAGCGUGGGGAGCGAACA
rnacentral:rRNA from 1 species